GACUUUCUAGGAGCUGAAUGGUGAUCA
rnacentral:piRNA from 1 species